ensembl:lncRNA
CUCGGCUCAGACUGAGAAAGCUCAAACAGCAGCGAGGCGGAGAACGACUGCUCCAGUCCUUCGGCCUGCAGUGAAAAACGUGGACCCAAACAGACGCCGUUUUACCUCUGGAGGUGCAGAUGGUCUCUGAAUCUGCAGGUAGGCCUGACUGGGAGACGUGUAGCUGCUGAAGAGCUGCAGAGUGUUUUGUCCGUCCUUAAAGGAAGCCUGAACACAAAACAACAGUUUAUCUCAUGGUGUUAAACAAUAUGACACACUAAUGUAUAUGUCAGAUUUAUGGAUUGAUACCGAGACUCAUCAUCUGUACUAAUUUACACAGUAAAUAGAAACAUUUUCACAAAACAUAUUUUAGUCAGAAGUAUGUUUUGUAACUUACGUCAAUGAUGAGCACUUGCGUGUCAUUCCUGAUUUCAACAUGGAGUGGUAUGACGCCAUCUGCAGGGAGGGGAAACUUCAUUUCUGUGGGAGGCAUCUCUUCUGGAAGUGGAUGCAUGGUAGAAGACUCGAAAACAUUCAGUCUGUCAGCCGCCAUGUUUUCCCCCAUGCUUGUUAUCAAACCCCACGGCGUUCGCUUCUGCUGGAUCACCGACACUUCAACAAGCUGAUCGUCGAGCGUCAGCGGCUGGUUGUUGUUUGCCGUACGUGUACCUGAAGACAGAAACCAUGGAUAAUGUUUCCAUAUGUAUCCACAGACAGGACAAAGAGGAGGAGUGAAGGUCUCACUUUGCGGUGACGGAGCCCUGCAGCGUGUCCUCAUGGUAAAACACCUCUGGAGCUCUGAUCUCAACCUCG